GGAAGAGUGGUCGAGUGGUUUAUGGCUCUAGUCUUGAAAACUAGCGAGGGUGCAAGUCCUCCGGAGGUUCGAAUCCUCUCUCUUCCG
rnacentral:tRNA from 1 species